UGAAAUUAUAAUGAAACGGAUAUUUCUACCCCAAAGAGCGAAGCAUAAAAACCACACCGCAAAAUGAUAAUAUGAAACAUAUUCGAGACUGUUUCGAAAGCUGGACGAGUCCAUUAUAUUUAGACGCAUGUGAUGAUGAUGAUACAGCUACCUAGCGGUGUAUACAAGACAGUUGGGGCUCGCUGGAGGAAUGCACAGGCGCCUAUUUCUCGGAUCAAGUUGGUGUAAACUCACUAUAAUUAUGGUAACGCUCUGAUAAUACAUCAAUAACAUGUGAAUCCCGUGUUUACCAACUUGGACCUGUACUUCUCCAGAUGGUUUUCGUAUCACACGGUUGUCUUUUUAUAGCCAAUGAUCGACAAAGCAUCUGUUUGAAACAAUUUUUUUGAAUAUGUCGUCUGCAGCUGCAACUAUCGUGUAAUCUAUGCAGAGUGGAGUAACCCGUACCUAUAACAGAUCAGAAUUUUGAGCCAAGACCGACCUACACUAGGACAAUGUCAGCACCCUGCUGCAAGGUGGUAUGAAGCUUAUUGAUAAGAUGGCAAGUUGCAGUGUUACUCUGGAGCAAAACCAUCCAAGAAGCCCUUGCAUUAUAAUCUCAAAAGCAUCAAACAAGCCAUCUUCUCCUCUGCAUCACAUCUGUGAGCAGCCUCAUUUUGUUCCGCCCGAUGAGAGUAGGAGAGAGACGAUAGAAACCAUGGUUUGUCAGAAGACAGAAUCUGAUCAGCUUCUUGAUACAAUCCCGGAAGAAACUACUGAGCCAUCCCCAGCCAGGGAAGGGAAUGAUAACCAGAGUCUUGUCACCUCAGAGGCUGUCGUUUGUACUAAAACAGAAUCAGAUCACCUUCUUGAACCACUACCAGAAGGUAUUGCAGAUGUAAGUCAUCUUUUCCUUUACUUUCUUUACUGUAAUAUAGUUGUUCACUCUUUGACUCAAGAUAUUUGUUACCAUGCUAAAGGAUUAUUAUCUUUUCUCUGAUAUACAUCUCUCUCUGGAGUAAUAGAUGAUAAUUCAACUGUUUGGAAACAGAAUGGUGUUUACUCAUAUAUCUACACAAAGAAUGAAUAAUGCCAUUCUGGCUCUGAACGAAAAGAGGUAUCAAUUUUUUAUCAAUGUAAAGAGGUUAAGAUUGGUCAA